rnacentral:rRNA from 1 species
UACAGAGGGGGCAAGCGUUAUUCGGAAUUAUUGGGCGUAAAGGGCGCGUAGGCGGCUUUGCAAGUGGCGGGUGAAAUCCCUCGGCUUAACCGAGGAACUGCCUGCCAGACUGUGAGGCUUGAGACCGGGAGAGGUGAGUGGAAUUCCCAGUGUAGCGGUGAAAUGUGUAGAUAUUGGGAGGAACACCAGUGGCGAAGGCGGCUCACUGGACCGGAACUGACGCUGAGGCGCGAAAGCGUGGGGAGCAAACAGG